rnacentral:misc_RNA from 1 species
CAGUCGUCGUCGUAGAACGGGUCGGCCUGCAUCGCCUUCAGCCCGCCGUCGUAGCCGAGGCGGUUGCGGCACAGCACCUCGAACUGGUAGACGAACAGCCCGGCCUUGCUGAUGGCGCCGGCGCGGAACUGCGCCUCGCGCUCCAGCACCAGCAGCGCCAGGUCGGUGCUGAAGCGGCGCGCGUCCUCCUCGCUGCCGGCGACCACGAACGCCUGGUAGGGCGUGAAGUAGUGCCCCAGCCGGGCGAACCCCGACGACAACAGCCCCGUGUGCUUCAGCUCCGUGGCGAGGAACUGGAUCGCCAGGGGCAGCCGCGUCGUCGAGAGGAUCUCCUCGUGGAUGCCGUCGAGGAUAGUCUGGGUGGCCAGGCCCUCCA